rnacentral:rRNA from 1 species
AUACGUAGGUGACAAGCGUUAUCCGGAUUUACUGGGCGUAAAGGGCGUGCAGGCGGUCUUGCAAGUCAGAAGUGAAAUUCCUGAGCUCAACUCGGGCGCUGCUUCUGAAACUGCAGGACUUGAGUGCUGGAGGGGAUAGCGGAAUUCCUAGUGGAGCGGUAAAAUGCGCAGAUAUUAGGAAGAACACCGGUGGCGAAGGCGGCUAUCUGGACAGUAACGGACGCUGAGGCGCGAAAGCGUGGGGAGCAAACAGGAUUAGAUCCCCUGGUAGUCCACGCCGUAAACGAUGAAUACUAGGUGUAGGGGUAUCGACUCCCUCUGUGCCGCAGUUAACACAAUAAGUAUUCCGCCUGGGGAGUACGGCCGCAAGGUUGAAACUCAAAUGAAUUGACGGGG